rnacentral:misc_RNA from 1 species
GAUGAAGAACGUAGCGAAAUGCGAUACUUGGUGUGAAUUGCAGAAUCCCGUGAACCAUCGAGUCUUUGAACGCAAGUUGCGCCCAAAGCCAUUAGGCCGAGGGCACGCCUGCCUGGGCGUCACACGUCGUUGCCCCCCAUCUACUCCUUCGGGAUUGCGGGGGGCGGAUGAUGGCCUCCCGUGCGCCUCGUCGCGCGGUUGGCAUAAAUGCCAAGUCCUCGGCGACGCACGCCACGACAAUCGGUGGUUGCGAAACCUCGGUUGCCCGUCGUGUGCGGUCGUCGCGCAUCGAGGGCUCGAAAAAAUUGCCGGGCUCCGGCUCGGCUUUCAACGCGACCCCAGGUCAGGCGGGGUUACCCGCUGAAUUUAAGCAUAUCAUAAGCGGAGGA